rnacentral:rRNA from 1 species
AGUGAACGCUGGCGGUAGGCCUAACACAUGCAAGUCGAACGGCAGCACAGUAAGAGCUUGCUCUUACGGGUGGCGAGUGGCGGACGGGUGAGGAAUACAUCGGAAUCUACUUUUUCGUGGGGGAUAACGUAGGGAAACUUACGCUAAUACCGCAUACGACCUACGGGUGAAAGCAGGGGAUCUUCGGACCUUGCGCGGUUGAAUGAGCCGAUGUCGGAUUAGCUAGUUGGCGGGGUAAAGGCCCACCAAGGCGACGAUCCGUAGCUGGUCUGAGAGGAUGAUCAGCCACGCUGGAACUGAGACACGGUCCAGACUCCUACGGGAGGCAGCAGUGGGGAAUAUUGGACAAUGGGCGCAAGCCUGAUCCAGCCAUACCGCGUGGGUGAAGAAGGCCUUCGGGUUGUAAAGCCCUUUUGUUGGGAAAGAAAAGCAGCAGGUUAAUACCCCGCUGUUCUGACGGUACCCAAAGAAUAAGCACCGGCUAACUUCGUG